AGCGGAGGAAAAGAAACUAACCAGG
rnacentral:ncRNA from 6 species